AGCUUAGGGCUUGAGUACGAAGGGACCAGUGAAGAUAACCACAGUGUUUUGUGUGGAAGACAUCUUGCGCAGGAACCUGCUGCCUCGACUAGAGAUCCUAGUCUCCCCUUCAGCAAAUACUCACAGGAAGAAAUAUGGAAACAAAGUACGGAGCAUAUAGUGAAGGAAAGGCUAUCCAGAGACUGCUCCACCUGGGGAUCCAUCCCAUAUACAGCCACCAAACCCAGAUGUUAUUGUGGAUGCUGGGAAGGAUUUCCUGAUAAAAGUCUGAUAUGGCUGUCUCCUGAGAGGCUUUGCCAAAGAAGAAGCUCACAAUCAACCAUUGGACUGAGCUCAGGGGUCCCUGAUAGAGGAGUUGGAGAAGGGACUGAACGACACUACGUUUUACGAGAGAAUCAUGCUAUGUAACUCAGGCUAGCCUUAAACACAAGAUCCUCCUGCCUCAUUCUCCUAAGGGCUGAAGUUUCCUGCAAAGACCAAAUUAAUGAGUAUUCAAACAACUUUAAGAAUUCAUCUUGGAAACUUUCUUCAAAUCAUUGUUUUUGCCUCUCUUAAUAUCAGAUCUCAUCUGCUCCCAGUUAAUUUGCUAACUAUGGACGCAUCAGAAACUGUUGUAAAGGUGAUGACCUGUCUAGAUUGGGAGAAAAGAUAACAUGUGACUCCUUACUUCCCAUUGUAGGAAGCUAAUUUGGGUAAACUUGAGACAAAAUUCUCUUAAAAAUAAAAUCAUAGCAUCUGACUGGGAAAAAACAAAACCAUGACCACUCUCUUGAACUGGCAAGAGUGUCCUUCACAUAUGUGUGCAGCAGGAAAGGUCAUGGCUUGCUCAAGGUUAUAGCAAGAGUCAGGAUCAGCACUAACUUCACUGUGAUGGUUUGCUUCGUCCAGGGAGUGGCACUAUUAAAAGGUGUGGUCCUGUUGGAGUUAGUUUGUCACUGUGGGUAUGGGCUUUAAGACCCUAGUGCUAGCUGCCUGGAAGUCAGUAUUCUCCUACCAGCCUUCAGAUGAAAAUGUAGAACUCUCAGCUCCUUCUGCACCGUGCCUGCCUGGAUGCUGCCAUGUUCCUGCCUUGAUGGUACUGGACUGAACCUCUGAACCUAACAUCAAUGGUGCAUUCAGAAUGCUGAGCAGGCAACAGGGACACCCUGGUCAAGGAGAGCACAAAGACUCACAGGGUAGGAGGAGCUGAAGUGGACAGCCAACCAUUCACAUCAAAAGAGCAUGCAAGGCAUUCCGAAGAUAAACCAAGUCUGUGAAAAUCUAUCAAGAAUGGCUGUGUACGUGAAAGUGCCCACUGUUUGGCUCCAUGAACAUAGUAAGGGCAGUGGGUAUUCAACUAUAAGAACCUUGAAAAGUAGUCUAGGCUUAAAUGUGGAACCUCAAAGCUGCACUCAGUAUCUUCUUCAAAUAGAACUUUCCAUGGCAUCUUUCUGACAUCAGGCUGUCCCAGAACUGAAUCUUUACUCAGAAAACAGACUUCCUGUGCUGCGCAUAGCUACCUUGUACCAAUUGACACCCAUACUCAAUCCUUGUAAUGCUCCACCUCCUAAUUGUGAUAGCAGCUACCAUGUACUGGUCUAGCCUGCCUUUACCCUGCACCAGAGAAGUUUCUGUUUGUAAUGGACAAUGAUUCACACAGAGACUCGACUGUUCCAAAGACUGUGAAUAAGUGACUAUGGAACACUCAGCCAUAAACUGGAAAGCUACACCAUGCCUUUCUCCAAGGUCAGGGGACAAAAGAAAACUAAACAGCCAAGGAAAUAAAGCAGAAUUUGAAAGUAGAGCUAGCUGGGAUGGUGAGGGAGACACAAUAGGGGACAGCAGCGGUGAACGUGUUCACAGGACAUUGUUAUCAUGUAUGGAAAUGUCAAAGUUUUAGAAGAAUAUGUAACUUACUCAUGUAUUUCAAAUAGUUGCUUUCUUCUCAUGAUGAAAUGCCCAAGAAUUGUUACUCUGGGACACAUAAAGUGAAAGUCAAUGGUGGCACUCAUAUGUGUUAUAGAGUUUCUUCUUCUUAGCUGCAGUCUGAUAAACACUUGUAUUGAUGAUCUAUGUGUGUGGACACCAUUGGUGUGGGGUAUGUGAUUUCGUUUCUGCUGUGUGAACAAGCAUUGACAACCAAGCAGAAAGAAAAUAAAGUAUGGUUCUUCCUUAUUUCGAAAAAAAAAAAAAA
rnacentral:lncRNA from 1 species